UACAGAGGUCCCAAGCGUUGUUCGGAUUCAUUGGGCGUAAAGGGCGCGUAGGCGGUUUUGUAAGUCGGAUGUGAAAGCCCAGGGCUUAACCUUGGAAGUGCAUCCGAAACUGCAUAACUGGAGUCUCGGAGAGGGUGGUGGAAUUCCCAGUGUAGAGGUGAAAUUCGUAGAUAUUGGGAGGAACACCGGUGGCGAAGGCGACCACCUGGACGAAGACUGACGCUGAGGCGCGAGAGCGUGGGGAGCAAACAGG
rnacentral:rRNA from 1 species